rnacentral:rRNA from 1 species
UGGCGCACGGGUGAGUAAUGUAUAGUUAAUCUGCCCUAUGCUGGAGGACAACAGUUAGAAAUGACUGCUAAUACUCCAUACUCCUUCUUAACACAAGUUAAGUUGGGAAAGUAGCUCUUAAUAAUGCAUAUAAAAUGGAUUUUAAAACAAAAAGCUAAAAAGAUAACAAUAAACUUUUUUGAAGCUUUACAUAAGUAAGGCAAGAAAAAGUGAAGCAGUUAGCUUUUAAAGAUUUUUGUAAAAAUUCUAAAUUAUAAAUAGUUUUUAAAUUAAAAUAUUUUCUUUAAAAGAGAUUAAUAAAAGUAAUUUUAAAACUUUUUAUAUGUAUUAUUAAGAGCUCUCGGCAUAGGAUGAGACUAUAUUGUAUCAGCUAGUUGGUGAGGUAAUGGCUCACCAAGGCUAUGACGCAUAACUGGUCUGAGAGGAUGAUCAGUCACACUGGAACUGAGACACGGUCCAGACUCCUACGGGAGGCAGCAGUAGGGAAUAUUGCUCAAUGGGGGAAACCCUGAAGCAGCAACGCCGCGUGGAGGAUGACACUUUUCGGAGCGUAAACUCCUUUUCUUAGGGAAGAAAUUUGACGGUACCUAAGGAAUAAGCACCGGCUAACUCCGUGCCAGCAGCCGCGGUAAUACGGAGGGUGCAAGCGUUACUCGGAAUCACUGGGCGUAAAGGACGCGUAGGCGGAUUAUCAAGUCUUUUGUGAAAUCUAAUGGCUCAACCAUUAAACUGCUUGAGAAACUGAUAAUCUAGAGUGAGGGAGAGGCAGAUGGAAUUGGUGGUGUAGGGGUAAAAUCCGUAGAGAUCACCAGGAAUACCCAUUGCGAAGGCGAUCUGCUAGAACUCAACUGACGCUAAUGCGUGAAAGCGUGGGGAGCAAACAGGAUUAGAUACCCUGGUAGUCCACGCCCUAAACGAUGUAUACUAGUUGUUGCUGUGCUAGUCAUGGCAGUAAUGCACCUAACGGAUUAAGUAUACCGCCUGGGGAGUACGGUCGCAAGAUUAAAACUCAAAGGAAUAGACGGGGACCCGCACAAGCGGUGGAGCAUGUGGUUUAAUUCGAAGAUACGCGAAGAACCUUACCUGGGCUUGAUAUCCUAAGAACCUUGUAGAGAUACGAGGGUGCUAGCUUGCUAGAACUUAGUGACAGGUGCUGCACGGCUGUCGUCAGCUCGUGUCGUGAGAUGUUCGGUUAAGUCCGGCAACGAGCGCAACCCACGUAUUUAGUUGCUAACAGUUUGGCUGAGCACUCUAAAUAUACUGCCUUCGUAAGGAGGAGGAAGGUGUGGACGACGUCAA